rnacentral:lncRNA from 1 species
UGGCCUGCUGCAACCCCCGGACUGAACCAAUUUAGUGCUGCCAUCUUCCAACACUCGGGCACAGAUGGUUAACAUAGCAUGUGGGCUAUGUCACAGAAGGUUUCCACUGCAGGUGUGGCUUAUGAAGUCACUGAAUCUGGGACUCUUGAACAAAGUAAAAAUACUACUUUUGUAAGAAGAGCUAAUGAGUAUCAGUAGGAAAAUAUCAUAAAGUUUAGAUAAAUAUUGAAUUUUAUGAGCAUUUUAAUUUUGUAUGUCACUACAUGUAGUCCUAAUAGGGUUAAAAACAAUAAAUUAUUCAUAGACCCAAAUAAUUGAUUAUAAAGAUAUAAUAUCCAGCUUUUUAUUAGCAGUGUAGUUUCAUUUGUAUAAUUGGCUUUGUUUUGCCUUUUUAAUAAAGAAUUUUUUAAAUACUAAGUUCCUUUGAUAUGUACU